rnacentral:sRNA from 1 species
GGAAGGAUCAUUACAGAAUCGUCAACGGGUUGUUGCUGGUCCUCGAACGGGGACAUGUGCACGCUCUGUUUACACAUCCACUCACACCUGUGCACCCUCCGUAGUUCUGUGGUCUGGGGGACCCUGUCUUCCUGCCGUGGUUCUACGUCUUUACACACACACCGUAAUAAAGUCUUAUGGAAUGUACGCCGCGUCUAACGCAAUACAAUACAACUUUCAGCAACGGAUCUCUUGGCUCUCGCAUCGAUGAAGAACGCAGCGAAAUGCGAUAAGUAAUGUGAAUUGCAGAAUUCAGUGAAUCAUCGAAUCUUUGAACGCACCUUGCGCCCCUUGGCUAUUCCGAGGGGCAUGCCUGUUUGAGUAUCAUGAACACCUCAACUCUCAUGGUUCGCCGUGAUGAGCUUGGACUCUGGGGGUUUUGCUGGCCUGCGGUCGGCUCCCCUCAAAUGAAUCAGCCUCCCAGUGUUUGGUGGCAUCACGGGUGUGAUAAAUAUCUACGCUCGCGGUUGUCCGCCAGGUAACCUUUGGCGACAAAGGUUCGCUGGAGCUCACAGAUGUCUCUCCUCAGCGAGGACAGCUUUUUGAACGUUCGAUCUCAAAUCAGGUAGGACUACCCGCUGAACUUAAGCAUAUCA